AGCGAACGCUGGCGGCAGGCCUAACACAUGCAAGUCGAACGAACCUUUCGGGGUUAGUGGCGGACGGGUGAGUAACACGUGGGAACGUGCCUUUAGGUUCGGAAUAACUCAGGGAAACUUGUGCUAAUACCGAAUGUUCCCUUCGGGGGAAAGAUUUAUCGCCUUUAGAUCGGCCCGCGUCUGAUUAGCUAGUUGGUUGAGGUAAUGGCUCACCAAGGCGACGAUCAGUAGCUGGUCUGAGAGGAUGAUCAGCCACAUUGGGACUGAGACACGGCCCAAACUCCUACGGGAGGCAGCAGUGGGGAAUCUUGCGCAAUGGGCGAAAGCCUGACGCAGCCAUGCCGCGUGAAUGAUGAAGGUCUUAGGAUUGUAAAAUUCUUUCACCGGGGACGAUAAUGACGGUACCCGGAGAAGAAGCCCCGGCUAACUUCGUG
rnacentral:rRNA from 1 species